AAAAAACAUAAUUGUUUACCUUGAACGGUAUGGUUUUCCUUGAAAUGUUUGCUUCUUUCUCAUGCCCGACACCUCCCCCCAACCCAAAAUAGAUUUCUCAAUUCUCUAAUUUCUUCUAAUCCCUAAAUUUCCCCCAAAAGAAUCAGCACCCAAGAAACCUAAGACCAGACCCCUUUCAUGCAAACGGAAACUGUCUCUACAAUUCCAAUUCAUGCGUUUUUAAGCAAGGAUAUAUAAGUUGAGAAGCUUUGGAAGCCAUUUGAGCAAUGCCUGCCAUGAACAAGCAUGUAAUGGAAUCUUCAUGUUCAUAGGGCAGCCACCGCAUCAAUCUGGAUUCAGCAUAUCAAACAAAUAGAAACACUUCAAUUGUUUCAAUGCCCUCAAGUCAAAACGAGGCGUGAAAUUAAACAGUUCCUACAUAGAAAAAGAUUCAGCAUCAGUUACUGCUUCCUGCUCCUCCUGCAACUAUUGGUUCAACUGAAGCUAUCAUUUAAUCUUCGAAUUAAUAUUUGGUACUAUCGAGCACCUGAAUUAAUAUUUGGUGCAACUAAAUACACCACAGCCAUUGACAUCUGUUCUAGGAAAAAUGCCUAGAAGAAGAUUAAGAGAUCUUAGUAUUGUACAGAAUACUACAAAUUCAGAAGAAGUAAGUACUGAACAGCAGACAGUUGUUGGAUCUUCAAGUGUGCCGGAGACACUUGACGAGUCUAUGGAAUUUCAAACUGAAAAUGGUCGGACGUGCAGAGGUCGAGGACGUACGCUCCUAACAUAUUUAUAUAACUUAAAUUCUGUCGAGCGUGUCAAAGUAACUAGAAACAGCCAUGGUCAGCCUGUUGGACAAGAAGCUUGACUUUUAGCAGGCUAUUUGGGCAUUAUAGCAUGAAAUGCCAAUAUGUUGCCCAUCAACUACGAAUCAUGGUAUAACAUGCCUGAUAGCAAUAAAAAUCAAGCUCUCUCUAAGAUUAAGGAGAGGUUUGCUUUAGAGGUCUCUGAUGCCUAUAUCAAGAAGGCAUUGGGUAAAAAAUGGAGAGACCAUAAAAGCAUUUUGAAAAAAGAAUAUUUUAAAAAACCCAUAAGCCUCGAAGAAAAAUUGCAAAAUGUCCCACCGGGAAUGCUGAGGUACCAAUGGGAAGAUGCGGUUAGAUUUUGGAAUUCGAAGAAAGGAGAGGACCGUGAGCGAGUUAGAACAAGCAGCAGGCAAAAACAAAAAUUUACGCACACGGUAGGAUCGAGAAGUUUUGCUUGUGUAGCUUAGGCCGCGGUACUAUGGAUUUAUUAAUUCUAUCAAGUAUUAAUGACUUUUUACUAUUAAAUAAUAUUUACUACUAUAUUGUAAGAAGCCUCGCCCGGUCAAAAAG